GCAUAUCUCAAGUUCAAGUUUGAGGUCCAGAUAACUAAAUACAUUCGGGAAAAAUAAUGGGCAAUGUCACUAAAAUUCAGAACAUUGAGAAAGGACAAAAGUUUUGGGCAAAAGGAUGCACAGCCUUUGGCAGGAAAAACAUUCAGUUGGGACAGAAAAAGUCUCCCAUUUAAAUUGUGUUCCAUUUUUAAGACAAAGGCAUAUGAAUCCCACCAGAGGAAAGCCAAAGAGAAAUAUGCUGCUGAAAUGAACAAGGCAGUAAGUUCAAAGACAGAUCACUGUCAUUUAUACCAUACAAUUUGACAUUAUUUUCAUUUUAAUAAUGUUGAAGUACUAACUUACAAUGGAAUGUUCCUCAAUAAAAUGGAAGAAGAUGGGACUUUAAAUGGGUGUCCCAACUCGGUGGUCAAUAAAGAUCCCAUGGGGCGGGGUGCUUAUUGUUCUGUUUUAACUGUAUAUGUUUAUCAAACUGUAAAAAUGUCAAACAAAGUUACUUUGGUGUAGGAUAGGCCAAUAAAACAAAUAUAAAUAAAGAGUAUGUAAGUGGGGUUAGGGUGGUGAGUUUCCCCUUACACUUUAAAGAGCUUUGGGUGUCUAGAAAUGUAACUUCAAUCAAUUAUUAUUAUUACAUGUUUUGCCAUUGUCCAGACCAUGCCCUUGUAGAGAUGGAAACUGGUACGAAAUACCAAAAAGGUGUCAAAUAAAAAUGAAGUGGU